rnacentral:rRNA from 1 species
GGCAGACGAGUGAGUAAUCACGUAAAGAAAUCUACCCCGAAGUCGGGAACAAGCUUGUCCGAAAGGUGGAGCUAAUAUCCCGAUAUAAUCCCGAAUGUGGGGAUCACCUUGGGAUGAAAGGCUGUAAGUCGCUUUGGGAGGAUCUUGCAGACCUAUCAGCCUAGUUGGUGAGGUAACGGUCCCACCAAGGCUAUGACGGGCUAGCCGGCCCUGUAAAGGGGCGACCGGCCAUCGGAGGCACUGAGACACGGGCCUCACUCCUACGGGAGGCAGCAGUGGGGAAUUUUGGACAAUGGGGGCAACCCUGAUCCAGCAACGCUGCGUGAAGGACGAAGGUCUUCGGAUUGUAAACUUCUUUUGUUCGGGACGAAAGCCCGCAAAGGGUUUGACGGUACCGGAUUGAAUAAGCCACCGGUGAACUACGUGCCAGCCGCCGCGG